rnacentral:misc_RNA from 1 species
UCCGGUUUGUCACCGGCAGUCUCCUUAGAGUUCCCGCCAUUACGCGUUGGCAACUAAGGACAAGGGUUGCGCUCGUUACGGGACUUAACCCAACAUUUCACAACACGAGCUGACGACAGCCAUGCAGCACCUGUCUCUGCGCUCCCGAAGGCACCAAGGUAUCUCUACCCAGUUCGCAGGAUGUCAAGGGGUGGUAAGGUUUUUCGCGUUGCAUCGAAUUAAACCACAUGCUCCACCGCUUGUGCGGGCCCCCGUCAAUUCAUUUGAGUUUUAACCUUGCGGCCGUACUCCCCAGGCGGUCAACUUAGUGCGUUAGCUGCGCCACUAAGGAAUCAAGUUCCCCAACGGCUAGUUGACAUCGUUUACAGCGUGGACUAC